rnacentral:rRNA from 1 species
AUUGAACGCUGGCGGCAUGCCUUACACAUGCAAGUCGAACGGCAGCACGGGAGCAAUCCUGGUGGCGAGUGGCGAACGGGUGAGUAAUGUAUCGGAACGUGCCCAGUCGUGGGGGAUAACGCAGCGAAAGCUGUGCUAAUACCGCAUACGAUCUAUGGAUGAAAGCGGGGGAUCGCAAGACCUCGCGCGAUUGGAGCGGCCGAUAUCAGAUUAGGUAGUUGGUGGGGUAAAGGCCCACCAAGCCUGCGAUCUGUAGCUGGUCUGAGAGGACGAUCAGCCACACUGGGACUGAGGCACGGCCCAGACUCCUACGGGAGGCAGCAGUGGGGAAUUUUGGACAAUGGGCGCAAGCCUGAUCCAGCAAUGCCGCGUGCAGGAUGAAGGCCUUCGGGUUGUAAACUGCUCUUGUACGAGACGAAAAGACUCGCUCUAAUACAGUGGGUACAUGACGGUAUCGUAAGAAUAAGCACCGGCUAACUACGUGCCAGCCGCCGCCGUAA